UAUCUUUUUUAAGUCAGUUUGCCUUUAACCAAAUCAGUACUUUCAGUAACAGUUUAAAACAGAGCAUUUAAGCAUAUGUAUGUUGGCCAAGAUAAUUGAGUGAACCACUGAGCCGCACUUCUUGCACUGAUGCCUUCCACACCGCUCCUUGAGCGGUCUUGGGAUCUGGGGCGCGGGCUCAAGAAUGCUGUCCGCGAACUUCCUGAUCAUGUGUCCCAUUUGCCUACGCGCUUUUGGGUCAGACUCGUCGUACUGACCGGCCUCGAUUAUGUCGGCUUGAAGAAGACGUACUCCUUUAUGAUGAUGAUUUACUGACCUAAUACGAACUUGGGAACACAGGAGCCGCGUUUUAAGAAUUCAAGUAAUAUAGCGCAUGACAGAUACAAAAUUGAUUAAUUAAAUUUCUGUGUUAUGUUCAUGUACAUUAAAAUAAUAAUAAUGGUUAACGAAA